AGGGCGUCUGGUGAAUGCCUUGGCACUGAAAGUCGAUGAAGGACGUGAUAUACUGCGAUAAGUUUCGGGGAGUUGUAUGUAAACUUUGAUCCGAAAAUUUCCGAAUGGGAAAACCCAACUCUUUAAGAGUUAUUUCAAACUGAAUACAUAGGUUUGAAAAGGCAACCUAGGGAACUGAAACAUCUAAGUACCUAGAGGAAAAGAAAUCAAUUGAGAUUCCGUCAGUAGUGGCGAGCGAACGCGGAACAGGCCUGUAGUUUUAUUUGUACAACUAGAAAAAUCUGGAAAGAUUUGCCAUAGAGGGUGAUAGCCCCGUAAAGGUAAAAGCAAAUAAGAUUCUUGAGUAAAGCGGGACACGAGAAAUCCUGCUUGAAGAUAGGGGGACCACCCUCUAAGCCUAAAUACUCUUCAGUGACCGAUAGUGAACUAGUACCGUGAGGGAAAGGUGAAAAGAACCCCUAUUAGGGGAGUGAAAUAGAACCUGAAACCGGAUGCCUACAAUCAGUCGGAGCUCUAUAUGAGUGACGACGUACCUUUUGUAUAAUGGGUCAGUGACUUUAUCUGUGCAGCAAGCUUAAGCCGAAAAGGUGUAGGCGUAGCGAAAGCGAGUCUGAAUAGGGCGAUGAGUUGUACGGAUAAGAACCCGAAACCUAGUGAUCUAGUUAUGAGCAGGUUGAAGGUAAGGUAACACUUACUGGAGGACCGAACCGGUGCCUGUUGAAAAAGGCUCGGAUGACUUGUGAUUAGGGGUGAAAGGCCAAUCAAACUGGGAGAUAGCUGGUUUUCCGCGAAAACUAUUUAGGUAGUGCCUCAAGUAUUACCGUCGGGGGUAGAGCACUGUUUUGGCUAGGGGGUCAUGGCGACUUACCAAACCAUUGCAAACUCCGAAUACCGAUGAGUACAGCUUGGGAGACAGAGCACCGGGUGCUAACGUCCGGACUCAAGAGGGAAACAACCCAGACCGCCAGCUAAGGUCCCUAAAAUUGGCUAAGUGGGAAACGAAGUGGGAAGGCUAAAACAGUCAGGAUGUUGGCUUAGAAGCAGCCAUCAUUUAAAGAAAGCGUAAUAGCUCACUGAUCGAGUCGUCCUGCGCGGAAGAUGUAACGGGGCUAAGCCAGUUACCGAAGCUGCGAAUCACGUAAGUGAUGGUAGGAGAGCGUUCUGUAAGCCUGUGAAGGUGUCUUGUAAAGGAUGCUGGAGGUAUCAGAAGUGCGAAUGCUGACAUGAGUAGCGUUAAAGGGGGUGAAAAGCCCCCUCGCCGAAAGCGCAAGGUUUCCUACGCAACGUUCAUCGGCGUAGGGUGAGUCGGCCCCUAAGGCGAGGCAGAGAUGCGUAGUUGAUGGGAAACAGGUCAAUAUUCCUGUACCGAUGUGUAGUGCGAUGUGGGGACGGAGAAGGUUAGCUCAGCCGGGUGUUGGAUGUCCCGGUUCAAGCCUGUAGUUAUGCCUGGUAGGCAAAUCCGCCGGGCUUAGAUGAGGGGUGAUAACGAGGGUGCUUGCACCUGAAGUGAGUGAUACCCUGCUUCCAGGAAAAGCCACUAAGCUUCAGCUACACACGACCGUACCGCAAACCGACACUGGUGCGCGAGAUGAGUAUUCUAAGGCGCUUGAGAGAACUCUGGAGAAGGAACUCGGCAAAUUGACACCGUAACUUCGGAAGAAGGUGUGCCGCAAGUCAGUGAAGUCCCUCGCGGAUGGAGCUAAAAGCGGUUGCAAAAAAUCGGUGGCUGCGACUGUUUAAUAAAAACACAGCACUCUGCAAACACGAAAGUGGACGUAUAGGGUGUGACGCCUGCCCGGUGCCGGAAGGUUAAUUGAUGGGGUUAUCUUCGGAGAAGCUCUUGAUCGAAGCCCCGGUAAACGGCGGCCGUAACUAUAACGGUCCUAAGGUAGCGAAAUUCCUUGUCGGGUAAGUUCCGACCUGCACGAAUGGCGUAACGAUGGCCACACUGUCUCCUCCAGAGACUCAGCGAAGUUGAAAUGUUUGUGAUGAUGCAAUCUCCCCGCGGAAAGACGGAAAGACCCCAUGAACCUUUACUGUAGCUUUGUAUUGGACUUUGAACAGAUCUGUGUAGGAUAGGUGGGAGGCUUUGAAGCGGUGGCGCCAGCCAUCGUGGAGCCAACCUUGAAAUACCACCCUGGUGUGUUUGAGGUUCUAACCUUGGCCCGUUAUCCGGGUCGGGGACAGUGCAUGGUAGGCAGUUUGACUGGGGCGGUCUCCUCCCAAAGUGUAACGGAGGAGUUCGAAGGUACGCUAGGUACGGUCGGAAAUCGUACUGAUAGUGCAAUGGCAUAAGCGUGCUUGACUGCGAGACCCACAAGUCGAGCAGAGACGAAAGUCGGUCAUAGUGAUCCGGUGGUCCCAAGUGGGAGGGCCAUCGCUCAACGGAUAAAAGGUACUCUGGGGAUAACAGGCUGAUACCGCCCAAGAGUUCAUAUCGACGGCGGUGUUUGGCACCUCGAUGUCGGCUCAUCUCAUCCUGGGGCUGUAGCCGGUCCCAAGGGUAUGGCUGUUCGCCAUUUAAAGAGGUACGUGAGCUGGGUUUAAAACGUCGUGAGACAGUUUGGUCCCUAUCUUCCGUGGGCGCUGCAAGAUUGAGAGAGCCUGCUCCUAGUACGAGAGGACCGGAGUGGACGCACCUCUGGUGUAUCGGUUGUCACGCCAGUGGCAUUGCCGAGUAGCUAAGUGCGGAAGAGAUAACCGCUGAAAGCAUCUAAGCGGGAAACUCGUUUCAAGAUGAGAUCUGCCGGGGCCUUGA
rnacentral:rRNA from 1 species